rnacentral:rRNA from 1 species
AUUGAACGCUGGCGGCAGGCCUAACACAUGCAAGUCGAGCGGUAGAGAGAAGCUUGCUUCUCUUGAGAGCGGCGGACGGGUGAGUAAUGCCUAGGAAUCUGCCUGGUAGUGGGGGAUAACGUUCGGAAACGGACGCUAAUACCGCAUACGUCCUACGGGAGAAAGCAGGGGACCUUCGGGCCUUGCGCUAUCAGAUGAGCCUAGGUCGGAUUAGCUAGUUGGUGGGGUAAUGGCUCACCAAGGCGACGAUCCGUAACUGGUCUGAGAGGAUGAUCAGUCACACUGGAACUGAGACACGGUCCAGACUCCUACGGGAGGCAGCAGUGGGGAAUAUUGGACAAAGGGCGAAAGCCUGAUCCAGCCAUGCCGCGUGUGUGAAGAGGGUCUUCGGAUUGUAAAGCACUUUAAGUUGGGAGGAAGGGCAGUAAAUUAAUACUUUGCUGUUUUGACGUUACCGACAGAAUAAGCACCGGCUAACUCUGUG